GCUAUGGUAGCUUAGUGGUUAUGGCUUUGAGUUGCAGAUAAGAAGGUCAUGUGUUCAAAUCCCAGCACCACCA